GUCUUUUUGGUUAAUAAUUUAAAGUUUAAUCUGCCCCCUGAUUGAUAAUUAAAGGGCUGCAGUAUAUUGACUGUACAAAGGUAGCAUAAUCAUUAGUCUUUUAAUUGAAGACUUGUAUGAAAGAUUUGAUGAAAUAUAAACUGUCUCUAAGUUAAUUAUAGAAAUUAAUUUUUUAAUUAAAAAGUUAAAAUAAUUUAAAAAGACGAGAAGACCCUAUAGAGUUUUAUAAUAAUUAAAAAUUUGGAUUAUGUAUAUAAAUAAUAAAUUUAAAAUUUUAUUAUUAUUUUAUUGGGGUGAUAGAAAAAUUUAAUUAACUUUUUUUAAAAAAAAAUCAUAAAUAAGUGAAUAAAUGAUCCAUAAAUAGUGAUUAAAAGAAAAAAUUACCUUAGGGAUAACAGCGUAAUUUUUUUUUUUAGUACAAAUAAAAAAAAAAGGUUGCGACCUCGAUGUUGGAUUAAGAUAAAAUUUAAAUGCAAAAGUUUAAAAUUUUGAUCUGUUCGAUCAUUAAAAUCUUACAU
rnacentral:rRNA from 1 species